CUGGGCUCUGCUCCCAAGGAAUAAGGGAAGGAACGAGAGGAAACGGCCUCAAGUUGUCCCAGAGGAGGGUUAGAUUGGAUAUUGGGAAAGAUUUCUCUACUGGCACGAGAGGUGAAGCCCUGGCAGGGGCUGCCCAGGACAGGGCUGGAGUCCUCAUCCCUGGAAGGGUUCAGAAAGCGAGGAGGUGCAGUACUUGGGGACACGGUUUAGUGGGCAUGGUGGGUUUUUUUCCUGUGUAAAUAAAAUUGUCCUGCUCUGCUCAGCAGUUCUUUCGGUGCUGUGUCUGUUCCACUGGGAACAAGGACUCAGUCCCAGUCCUGUCUCUUCACCAGCUCCAUCUCCACUGCUGAUCACAUUUCUCAGCGUCUCAUCUUUCUUUUAUUUUUCUUCCAGCCCUGGAGAGCCCCGAGGGCUUCAGGCAGCCCAAGCGCUGGGCUCCAAGGCUUCCAGGAGCCCACAGACAUUCUGGUGGCCAGAGACGUUUAAAAUGGCAUCGCUGUGCACAGGUCACCCUAGCUGAGGUGCUUUGGUGGUGGUUCUGCCUGCCCAGAACCAUCUAGCUUGCAUGCUCGGGAUGGUAAACGCUGCAGCACGCGCUGGGUUUAGAGUUGUUGGUAACUGGACGUAGCCCCAGCCCCUGGAUUUCAUUCCCAGGAGGUGGAAAAUGUCAGUAAUAGCUGCUGCCUGGAGGGGGACAAAGAGCUGUGGUUAUUUUCAGUGUCCCCAAAAGACUGGCAGACAGGGUUGCUUAGGAUUGUUGUGGCUGUGCCAGAUACACGCCAGGUGGAAAUCCUGCAUCAAGAAAAUUGUGCCUAUGAGUAGUGUGAGUGAAUGAUAGGGAGAGGGAGAUGUAGCCCUGCGUGUGAGCAGUGCCUUCCUAGGGAAUUCCUUUCUUCUCUGCCACCUCAGACAGUGCAGCUUUGCCCCGGGAUAGGGAGUUACAUGCAAGGCUGGUCCAGUUGUUGGUGCCUCUUCGAGGUGGGGGUGGGAGGCUCUGUUUGGAUGCCAAGAUCCCCCUGGAUGGCCUGGAAGGAGCCGGUGCUUCACUACUCCAUGUGGACUGGCCUGGAGCUGGGUCCUCACAGCCUGGAAAGCAGAGGGGUGAAGGGAAGCACAGAGGUGUUGAGGUGUGCUCGCCCAUGUGCUUGUGUGUGUGGACAGGCAUCACACAUGGAAUGUGCAGGAGUGGUCGGUGAUUGAGAUGGGAUCUGAUGUGCUGCAAACUCUUUCAGUGUUCCAUAGGGCAUUUCCAUUGCUCUGUUCCGAUGCUGCGCUUCCUUGAUACAGAGCUGAACCCCUGCCCUGCGAUGGGGAGCACUGAGGCGGGACCGUGUUCCUGGGGCAGUGAGCAGUGGAUGUUCUGAGACAUCUGCAUCUAAUGAAGGCAGGCAGAAUUCUGGCAUUUGUCAAAGCCUGCCAGCAUGGCUGCAGCACCAUGAGUGCCACCAGCACAGGUUGCGCUCCUUGUCUGCUGGAUGCCCUCGGCACGUCCAGGAUUUGGCGAUGGAGAUGAUGGCCGUUCUAUGUGGUGCUGCAGAGCCAGCAGUUCUGCUGUGCAUUGCGGUGGGUGAUGACUGGUGGUGUCCUUGUCAGAGUUGAAACCUGUCUGCCAGGCACACAAUGGAUCUGGGGUCGUUACAGCGCAGCAGAAAAAAGAGCUUCAAGGUUCUCCCCAAUGCCUGCUGCUUCGUGGGCCCUGUGUUCCUCCAGAGGUGCCACUUGGGUGAAGGAGAGGGGACGGACGAUGGGGAAUGUGCGUGGCACUCGCCAAAAGAAGGAUUUGUAGAAGAAUUCCUGGUUUGUUGACUGUGAAUCCCAG